UCUUAGGUAGUAUAUGGUUAGUAUUCGCGCUUGUCAAGAGUUAUACCCCGACUCAACGCGUGCGCGAGACCGGGGUUCAAUUCCCCGCCUGAGGG